AUUUUACGCGAUUAAGAAUUAAGCGUUCAGGAAAUGAUGGUCUAAUGGUCAGAACUACUAUUCCCUCACACAACCAAAAUAAGGGCCAAGAAGUUCAUUUUUUUUAUAUGGGUAGAAGAAAAGAAGAACAGAUAUUAGCAAGUAGUACCAAUGUUUGUUACAACGUACCCUUGUGGCUACCAACUAUUUGUUCCUCUCUGCUUUCUCCAGGCAAGAUACACUCCCUCUCCUGCUUCCUGGAAGAAGACAAUCUCAAACACUCUCCAAUCAUAGAUAGCAUCAAGCACACAGUCCAGGUUCCCUGGUUGCCAGUGCUGAGACAGCUACAUGUAACCCCAUUGCAGGACUGACUUUUUGGAGGAAGAAAAGGCAAGAAUUUGCCUACACUCUGAAAAAUAUCCCUGGUCUUGCCUCUUGAAACAGGACAUGGAGAUUAUUGCGCAGUGACAAAAAUUUACCUAGAUUUAACCUAAAUAAAAGUAAUAUAGAAAUUGAGCUGAAAGAUUAGAUGACCUAAUAAAACAGUUGAUAAACAGAAACCAAUGGGGAUAUAUACAAAGGAGAAUGGACUGUGACAACCCAGAAGAUUGUUUAAUAUAAUGUCAAAAGCUACAAAUAUAAAAGACCCAAUUUAUUCCUGUCUCCAGAUGCUGGAAAAGCUUUUUGACAAUUAAUUGGAAGCUUUUAUUUUUGACACUGAAAAGCAAGGGCUUGCCCCAAGGAUUCAUUUCAUGGGCAGAAACAUUAUCUGAUCAUCCAAAGGCCAAAAUUAAGGCUAAUGUGUAUAAUUGGACACCAUUUCUUUUUUUCUUUCUUUCUUUUUUUUUUGAAAAGGAAGCAGCCACAGGCUGUCCACAUUUUUCUCUAUUAUUUGGUUCAUCAAUAGAAUCUCUGGCAGGCAGGAUGAAGGAAUAAAAAUGGAGUACUUAAGGCCCACAAUUUUAUUGUGAGUUGAUAAUGUGGCUCAAUUCUGGGUUGCAUGUAAACUUGUGAAAUUGACUUCUGGGGAGUCAAGUGGGAGGUGAAUCUCCUCUCCCAGUGGAGGGGCUGUUUGGUUUGUUCAAGUGGUAUUUUCCUUUUAGGAUCAAAUUAGUGCUAAAUAAAAAUGUGUUUCAGGUGACUCCAUCUUUGUCAUUGGAAGCAGUAUCAUAUCUGAGUUUUAGCCUAUUUCUUCUAUUCUUGCCCAAUUUUUUUUCCAGAGCAACCUCUAUGAAACAGAAGAGCAAAACUUCCAGUAAUAGCUAUGCACUGUUACUUUCUCUAAUUUUAUUUUACUUUUCCUUGCCAAAUAUAUAAGUAAUUCAGAUUAUUUGAUGGGUAAAUAAGUAAAUGAGAAAUGUAGGAACUAUAGGUUCUUACAAAUAAAUAUAAAAUACACAACUUCGACAAAUUAAAAAGGAGGCAUGAUAGGGAAUUUUCUUUAAAGCUAGUUUUACCUAACAAUGAAAAUAGUGGGAGGUGUGGUUUGUUUUACAGUUUUUAUCCUCUUUCAUUUUUUAAAACAGCUUUAUUGAGCUAUUAUUAACAUAAGAUAAAAUUCUCUCAUUUAAACUGGGUAAUUUUCUGGGUAUAUUCACAGAGUUGUGAAACCACCACUGACAUCAAGGAUUUCAGAAUACUUUUAUCACCCCCAAAAGAAAUCUCAUACCCAUUAGCAGAAACCCUCUAUUCCUUUCUAACUCUGCAAGUUCCAGGCAAUCAUUAAUUUGCUUUCUGUUGCUAAAGUUCUGCCUAAUCUGUGUAUUUUGUAUAAAUGAAAUCAUACAACAUGUGGCUUUUUGUGUCUG
rnacentral:lncRNA from 1 species